GAUGAACGCUGGCGGCGUGCCUAAUACAUGCAAGUCGAGCGAACAGAUGAGGAGCUUGCUCCUCUGACGUUAGCGGCGGACGGGUGAGUAACACGUGGAUAACCUACCUAUAAGACUAGGAUAACUUCGGGAACCCGGAGCUAAUACCGGAUAAUAUAUUGAACCGCAUGGUUCAAUAGUGAAAGACGGUUUUGCUGUCCCUAAUAGAUGGAUCCGCGCCGCAUUAGCUAGUUGGUAAGGUAACGGCUUACCAAGGCAACGAUGCGUAGCCGACCUGAGAGGGUGAUCGGCCACACUGGAACUGAGACACGGUCCAGACUCCUACGGGAGGCAGCAGUAGGGAAUCUUCCGCAAUGGGCGAAAGCCUGACGGAGCAACGCCGCGUGAGUGAUGAAGGUCUUCGGAUCGUAAAACUCUGUUAUUAGGGAAGAACAAAUGUGUAAGUAACUAUGCACGUCUUGACGGUACCUAAUCAGAAAGCCACGGCUAACUACGUG
rnacentral:rRNA from 1 species